rnacentral:lncRNA from 1 species
GUCUUUGUCCAUUAUUUAUUGGUAUUGUUGAAGAAAAAUGAGCAAUUUGCUGUGAUGUAAUUAUCAACUCUCCUAAAUGGAGCCACUAUGGGAUAUAAAGUAUAUCCUUCUCUGUAAUAUCCUUCUCUUUUGAUAUUAUUCUCUAACUUCCUAUUUUGUGCUUUGUUAGUGCUUCUGAUGCACUGAAGCUAUCUAUUGAGAACAACACGUAUCUUGGAGGUUUGUGCUAGGCUUUGUAAUUCUUCAAAUUGUUUUGUUAUCUAUAUUUUAUUGUUUUUUUCUGAUGUGCAUACAAUUAGUGAAAUUAUUUGCUACGUGAUGUUGAACUUACCCUGUCAGUUUAGGAGAGAAUUGUCGAGCGUCAGACAAUUGUCUAAUUAGGUGUUCCCUACUGGACUGGUAGAAUGACAUGGUAAUGGAUUUUUUCCUCUUUGCCAAG